UCGAGCGAGUCUGCCUUGAAGAUCGGAGUGCUUGCACUCUGUGAAACAAGAUACAGGCUAGCGGCGGACGGGUGAGUAACACGUGGGUAACCUGCCCAAGAGAUCGGGAUAACACCUGGAAACAGAUGCUAAUCCCGGAUAACAACAGAUGAUGCCUAUCAACUGUUUAAAAGAUGGUUCUGCUAUCACUCUUGGAUGGACCUGCGGUGCAUUAGCUAGUUGGUAGGGUAACGGCCUACCAAGGCGAUGAUGCAUAGCCGAGUUGAGAGACUGAUCGGCCACAUUGGGACUGAGACACGGCCCAAACUCCUACGGGAGGCAGCAGUAGGGAAUCUUCCACAAUGGACGCAAGUCUGAUGGAGCAACGCCGCGUGAGUGAAGAAGGGUUUCGGCUCGUAAAGCUCUGUUGUUGGUGAAGAAGGACAGGGGUAGUAACUGACCUUUGUUUGACGGUAAUCAAUUAGAAAGUCACGGCUAACUACGUGCCAGCAGCCGCGGUAAUACGUAGGUGGCAAGCGUUGUCCGGAUUUAUUGGGCGUAAAGCGAGUGCAGGCGGCUCGAUAAGUCUGAUGUGAAAGCCUUCGGCUCAACCGGAGAAUUGCAUCAGAAACUGUCGAGCUUGAGUACAGAAGAGGAGAGUGGAACUCCAUGUGUAGCGGUGAAAUGCGU
rnacentral:rRNA from 1 species